GCGCUCGUAGCUCAAUUGGAUAGAGCACCUGACUACGGAUCAGGAGGUUAGGGGUUCGAGUCCUCUCGAGCGCGCCA
rnacentral:tRNA from 1 species